rnacentral:rRNA from 1 species
GAUGAACGCUGGCGGCGUGCUUAACACAUGCAAGUCGAACGAAGCACCUUAUUCUGAUUUCUUCGGAAUGAAAAAUUUGGUGACUGAGUGGCGGACGGGUGAGUAACGCGUGGGUAACCUGCCUCAUACAGGGGGAUAACAGUUAGAAAUGACUGCUAAUACCGCAUAAGACCACGGCACCGCAUGGUGCAGGGGUAAAAACUCCGGUGGUAUGAGAUGGACCCGCGUCUGAUUAGGUAGUUGGUGGGGUAACAGCCUACCAAGCCGACGAUCAGUAGCCGACCUGAGAGGUUGACCGGCCACAUUGGGAAUGAGACACGGCCCAAACUCCUACGGGAGGCAGCAGUGGGGAAUAUUGCACAAUGGGGGAAACCCUGAUGCAGCGACGCCGCGUGAGCGAUGAAGUAUUUCGGUAUGUAAAGCUCUAUCAGCAGGGAAGAAAAUGACAGUACCUGACUAAGAAGCACCGGCUAAAUACGUGCCAGCAGCCGCCGUAA